rnacentral:lncRNA from 10 species
GAAAGCUCCAAAUCCAUGACAGUCGAAGUCUCUGCUCCUUCAGGAAUAGGACGUCUUCCUCUCCUUAAUCCAAUAUAGCAGCCGUGAAGUCAUUUCUGUAUUUCAGGAAGACUGGCAGAUGGAGUUUCGCUCUUGUUGCCCAUGCUGGAGUGCAAUGGCACAAUCUUGGCUCACCGCAACCUCCGCCUCCUGUGUUCAAGUGAUUCUCCUGCUUCAGCCUCCCGAGUACUGGGAUUACAGGCAUGCACCAACACGCCCAGCUAAUUUUGUAUUUUCAGUAGAGACAGGGUGUCUUCAUGUUGGUCAGGCUGGUCUCAAACUCCCGACCUCAGGUGAUCCGUACGCCUCAGCCUCUCAAAGUACUGGGAUUACAGGCCUGAGCCACCGCACCUGGCCCACACAUUUUUACAUACCAAGAGAUCCUUUAAUCCACCCAAAGGCUGACGUUAGCUGCAUCUGUAACACAACUUUUUCCUCAAAUAUAUGGAGUUUUUUUUAGGCUUCCACUUCUAUACUUCCCUAUUCUCACUCCCUGUUUUAAUUUAACAUAGACAUGCAAUGCUAGAUAAUAGAAUUGCUCUCUACCAGCUGAACAUUUGGGAGCCUGUGCAGUUUCUGGCCCUUCUUGUUGCACAUAGAUAAAUACAUCCGGUGUUAUAGAGACUCAGUUGUAAAAAUCAAUAAAUGUGCUGCCUGGUUAAAAUG